rnacentral:rRNA from 1 species
UACGGGGGGAGCAAGCGUUGUUCGGAUUUACUGGGCGUAAAGGGCGCGUAGGCGGCGCGACAAGUCACUUGUGAAAUCUCCGGGCUUAACUCGGAGCGGCCAAGUGAUACUGUCGUGCUAGAGUGCGGAAGGGGCAACUGGAAUUCUCGGUGUAGCGGUGAAAUGCGUAGAUAUCGGGAGGAACACCUAUGGCGAAGGCAGCUCGCUGGGACGUUACUGACGCUGAGACGCGAAAGCGUGGGGAGCAAACAGG